rnacentral:rRNA from 1 species
AUCCCAGCUCCAAUAGCGUAUAUUUAAGUUGUUGCAGUUAAAAAGCUCGUAGUUGGAUCUUGGGUCGUAAGGGUCGGUCCGCCUACUCGGUGUGCACCUGCCCUUCCGUCCCUUUUGUCGGCGGCGUGCUCCUGGCCUUAAUUGGCUGGGUCGCGGUUCCGGCGCUGUUACUUUGAAAAAAUUAGAGUGCUCAAAGCAAGCUUAUGCUCUGAAUACAUUAGCAUGGAAUAACGUGAUAGGAGUCUGGUCCUAUUGUGUUGGCCUUCGGGACCGGAGUAAUGAUUAAUAGGGACUGUCGGGGGCAUUCGUAUUUCAUUGUCAGAGGUGAAAUUCUUGGAUUUAUGAAAGACGGACCACUGCUAGAGCAUUUGCCAAGGAUGUUUUCAUUA